GAUAUUUAAAAAAUACGGGUAGAGACUUUACAGAGAAAACUGUGGAGUAUACUUCUUCUUUUCAUUUCUCAACUCGCUUCAACACUCUGUUGGAUUUGGCUCCAUUAUCACCACUACCGUUCUUCUCCGAUUGAAAUUCUCAGAGAUUGGAACUGAAGCCGUCACCAGCAGCAGCAUGCAGUAGUAGUUACGAGCAGAGUUGCAGUAGACGACGAAAUCGAAUCAAAUGGAGUGAAGGCGAGCAAGAAGCCCUAGCCCAAACGCAGAGAGGGCGACGAUGGAGAACGGUUACGAUCGGAAAUUCGCUGAUAAAUUCUCCGGGCUGGCGAUUUCCGGCGGCGCCGGUGAUCCUCUUCGCUCCCCUAAUAACAACAGCAACAACAACAAUGAUAGCAGCUUGUUUCAGGUUAUGAAGGCCGUGGAAGCUGCGGAGGCCACGAUUAAGCAACAGGUGGAAGAGAACAUCCGAUUGAGGACUGAGCUUCAGAACAAGAUUCUUGAGCUCGAUAGAUAUAAAAUAGAGGAAUCGGGGGCACAAAGGCCGCGUUCCGAUGAUCCUUGGUCUGAGCGCGUCCAAGGAUCUUAUGAAGCUCAUCAACCGGUUCCCCCUGUCGGUAGUCAAGAAGAUAGGAUUAGGAGUGCGGUCAAUACUUCUGUACUUGAUCCAUCUGGUACACUAGUUCUACACCAAGAGAGUUUGAAGCCAAGGGCUGAUGCUCCUCUACAAAGUAAUGUGGAAACCCACUCCUCGAGCAGCAAGAUCAAUGGAACAAUGAAGGAACUUCCGGGUAGUCAGCAGCCUGCGGAUAAUGCUGGCUUGUCUCACUUAUCUUCACCAUCCACAACAUCCUUCUCUCCUGGAAGGUUUAACAUGCAAGGAGAAUAUGAUCCAAGGUUCAAUUUUUCUGGACAAGGGUUGAUGCCUAUAACUGAAUUAAAUCCUAGAAGCCUCUGGAAGCAGGAUCUUAUUGUCAAGAUUCAUGAACAUGAAGAAGAGAUUAUGCAAUUACGGAAAAAUCUGUCUGAUUAUUCCGUAAAGGAAGCACAAAUACGCAAUGAAAAAUAUGUUCUGGAGAAGCGCAUUGCUUAUAUGCGUCUGGCCUUUGAUCAACAGCAACAGGAUCUUGUUGAUGCUGCAUCGAAAGCUCUAUCUUACCGACAAGACAUAAUUGAGGAAAAUAUACGCCUCACAUAUGCGUUACAGGAUGCAGUGCAAGAGAGAUCGACAUUUGUUUCAUCCUUGCUGCCACUUCUUGCAGAGUACUCUUUGCAGCCACCCGUUCUUGAUGCCCAAUCAAUUGUCAGCAAUGUCAAGGUUCUUUUUAAACAUUUGCAAGAAAAGCUCCUUCUUACUGAGACAAAACUGAAGGAGUCACAUUAUCAUUUACGACCUUGGAACUCAGAGUUGAAUAACUCUAACAUUCCCAUGCAGUCACCAUCUCAUUCUGUUGGUGCCGUGUUGACAACUUCAAACAAAAAUGGACUUGAACUGGUUCCUCAGCAAACAUAUUCUCAGGGAAAAGCACCCGUUUCUGCUUCUGAUGUUCAGACUACCAGGGAUUGGGAUCUAUUGGGUCGUGAUCAGAGUGCUUUGGAUGGUGUUGUCAAUAGGAAUGUGGAACCCAAUGACCUGGGGAGGUAUUCACCUUUUGCUAGCAGGAAUUCUGCAGCACAAGAUACACCUACUCAGCUUGAUGUUACUCGAGGUGAUGCACCAAUAACUCGUUAUAGUGAAGAAACCACCAAUAAACAGGUCACAUUUCGUGAUCCUGUCAGGAACACAGAGCUUGAUGAUCAAGAUCCUGAGGGAAGCCAAAAUGAGAGAGAAAUGGCAACCAAUUGGAGUCCAGGAAACACUCCUUACACAACAACACCUGAUGACCCCGGCUCUUCGUAUCAUAAUUUUCUACCACCAGUUCUGGAAGAACCGUCUUCUUCAUUUUCUGAGGCUGCAGAGGAUGAUCCAUUACCAGCUAUCGAGAACCUCCAAAUUUCAGGAGAAGCUUUUCCGGGGAGAGAACUUCAAGCGUGCGGGUACUCUAUCAAUGGGACAACCAGUUGCAAUUUUGAGUGGGUACGCCAUAUGGAAGAUGGAUCAGUUAAUUAUAUUGAGGGAGCAAAGCAACCAAACUAUCUAAUUACUGCUGACGAUGUUCAUACAUAUCUUGCUAUUGAAGUCCAGCCUCUCGAUAACAGGAAUCGCAAGGGAGAGCUUGUAAGGGUUUUUGCAAAUGAGGACAGAAAGAUUGUCUGUGAUCCUGAAAUGCAAGGUCAGAUAGAGAAGAAUUAUUAUCAAGGUCAUUCUUCAUUUAAAAUCCAUCAGCCGACAGGAUAUCUUGAUAUAUGGGAACCUGCUAUAUUGACCAUUAAGAAGGACAGUUACAGUAUUAAGCGUACGGAACCCAGUGGUGCUGUAAUCAAUGAAAAGUUUUCGCCGACAACUAGUGUUGGAAUUCCUUAUGGAAGCCCUACAGAGUUCGUGCUAACUGGUUCUGGUGGUAGUCAGCAUCUCUUAAAAGCAGACAAUGACCAGGCAGAUUAUAGCUGGAGAAACUGCCAUGUUCCUGAUUUCUUUUAAGGCAUUAUCAAAGCUUGCAGAAAGCAGAGAGUUGUUUAUCUGUUCUAGAGAUACGAUUGUGCUCACAUUGAGAUCAUUUAUCCUAAGGGCUGUUGAGAGAAAGAAAAAGAAAAAGAAAGGAAUUCUUUUUUAAUGGAAUAGUUGUCCUACUCCUGCCCUUGUUGGUAUAUUUUUUGCGUUAUUGUUAAGGGGUGUGCAUUAUAUUGGGGCAUGUAGGCGCGUGCCUUGUGAAUUUCCCGAGAGCCUUGUGAGCUAUGUUCGGUAUUUGUUACAGUAGGAAUGCGUUGUGUUGUAAUUUCUUGUAUGAGAUGAUUUGUCUUGUUCUUUUAGUGGGUAUAUGAGAGGAACGCUAAAUUAUUUUUUCAACAAAA